GGAGGAUUCGCCUAGUGGCCUAUGGCGCACGAUUGGAAAUCGUGUUGGGUGUGAAAGCCCUCGCGGGUUCAAAUCCCGCAUCCUCCG
rnacentral:tRNA from 1 species